rnacentral:rRNA from 1 species
CAGUAGCCGCGGGAAUACGAAGGGGGCUAGCGUUGCUCGGAAUUACUGGGCGUAAAGGGAGCGUAGGCGGAUCGUUAAGUUGGGGGUGAAAGCCCGGGGCUCAACCUCGGAACUGCCUUCAAUACUGGCGAUCUUGAGUAUGGGAGAGGUGUGUGGAACUCCGAGUGUAGAGGUGAAAUUCGUAGAUAUUCGGAAGAACACCAGUGGCGAAGGCGACACACUGGCUCAUUACUGACGCUGAGGCUCGAAAGCGUGGGGAGCAAACAGGAUUAGAUACCCGUGUAGUCCCUGUCUCUUAUAA